CUACGUAGCUCAGAGUUUGAUCCUGGCUCAGGACGAACGCUGGCGGCGUGCCUAACACAUGCAAGUCGAACGGAGAACUUACGGAUUGAGACUUCGGUUGAUUGAAGUUUGAUCUUAGUGGCGGACGGGCGAGUAACGCGUGAGUAACCUGCCUUUCAGAGGGGGACAACAGUUGGAAACGACUGCUAAUACCGCAUAAUGUCAUCGAGGGGCAUCCCUUGAUGACCAAAGAUUUAUCGCUGAAAGAUGGACUCGCGUCCGAUUAGAUAGUUGGUGGGGUAACGGCCUACCAAGUCGACGAUCGGUAGCCGAACUGAGAGGUUGAUCGGCCGCAUUGGGGCUGAGACACGGCCCAG
rnacentral:rRNA from 1 species